UACGAAGGGUCCAAGCGUUAUCCGGAUUUAUUGGGUUUAAAGGGUGCGCAGGCGGGGCUUUAAGUCAGUGGUGAAAUCUCGUAGCUCAACUACGAAACUGCCAUUGAUACUGAAGUUCUUGAAUGUAGUUGACGUUAGUGGAAUGUGUCAUGUAGCGGUGAAAUGCUUAGAUAUGACACAGAACACCGAUCGCGAAGGCAGCUAACGAAGCUAUUAUUGACGCUCAGGCACGACAGCAUGGGGAGCAAACAGG
rnacentral:rRNA from 1 species